GCAAACUUGGUCAUUUAGAGGAAGUAAAAGUCGUAACAAGGUUUCCGUAGGUGAGUAAACCACGCCCUUGUUCCUCAACCCGAAUAACAUGUGCUAACUGUGUCUAAUAGGUGAACCUGCGGAAGGAUCAUUACCGAGUACCGGUGCCUCUGGGUGCCUACUCCCACCAAUUGUGAACAUUUUACCGUUGCUUUGGCGGACCGGCUCUGCCCCCCGGCAUUGUCGGGGCGCGUCCGCCAGAGGUCUUUCAAACCCUUUUAAUCUGAAAUCAGAGUCCAAUGAAAAUAAAUCAAAACUUUCAACAACGGAUCUCUUGGUUCUGGCAUCGAUGAAGAACGCAGC
rnacentral:misc_RNA from 1 species